rnacentral:rRNA from 1 species
AAACAUCUAAGUACCCCGAGGAAAAGAAAUCAACCGAGAUUCCCUCAGUAGCGGCGAGCGAACGGGGAUUAGCCCUUAAGCAUCUUGGAAGUUAGUGGAACGGUCCUGGAAAGGCCGGCGAUACAGGGUGAUAGCCCCGUACACGAAAACAACCUUGAUGUGAAAUCGAGUAGGGCGGGACACGUGACAUCCUGUCUGAAUAUGGGGGGACCAUCCUCCAAGGCUAAAUACUCCUGACUGACCGAUAGUGAACCAGUACCGUGAGGGAAAGGCGAAAAGAACCCCUGUGAGGGGAGUGAAAUAGAACCUGAAACCGUGUACGUACAAGCAGUGGGAGCCCUUCGGGGUGACUGCGUACCUUUUGUAUAAUGGGUCAGCGACUUACAUUUUGUAGCGAGGUUAACCGUAUAGGGGAGCCGUAGGGAAACCGAGUCUUAACUGGGCGUCUAGUUGCAAGGUGUAGACCCGAAACCGGGUGAUCUAGCCAUGGGCAGGUUGAAGGUUGAGUAACAUCAACUGGAGGACCGAACCCACUAACGUUGCAAAGUUAGGGGAUGACCUGUGGCUGGGGGUGAAAGGCCAAUCAAACUCGGAGAUAGCUGGUUCUCCCCGAAAGCUAUUUAGGUAGCGCCUCGGACGAAUACUACUGGGGGUAGAGCACUGUUUGGGCUAGGGGGUCAUCCCGACUUACCAACCCCAUGCAAACUCCGAAUACCAGUAAGUAAUAUCCGGGAGACACACGGCGGGUGCUAACGUCCGUCGUGAAGAGGGAAACAACCCAGACCGCCGGCUAAGGUCCCAAAGUUCUGGUUAAGUGGGAAACGAUGUGGGAAGGCUCAGACAGCUAGGAUGUUGGCUUAGAAGCAGCCAUCAUUUAAAGAAAGCGUAAUAGCUCACUAGUCGAGUCGGCCUGCGCGGAAGAUGUAACGGGGCUCAAACCAGGCACCGAAGCCGCGGAUUCACGCUAAGCGUGAGUGGUAGGGGAGCGUUCUGUAAGUCUGCGAAGGUGUGUCGAGAGGCAUGCUGGAGAUA